UACAGAGACCUCAAGCGUUAUCCGGAAUCAUUGGGCGUAAAGCGUACCGAUCGGUGGUUUUACAAGUCAGAAGUGAAAUCUCUCAGCUUAACUGGGAGACUGUCUUUUGAAACUGUAAAACUAGAAGGGCAAAGAGGAAGCUGGAACAAACGGUGUAGUAGUGAAAUGCGUUGAUAUCGUUUGGAACACCAAUAGCGUAGGCAGGCUUCUGGGUGCCACUUGACACUGCUAGGACGAAAGCGUGGGUAGCGAAUGGG
rnacentral:rRNA from 1 species